rnacentral:rRNA from 1 species
UACGGGGGGGCAAGCGUUGUUCGGAAUUACUGGGCGUAAAGGGCUCGUAGGUGGCCAACUAAGUCAGACGUGAAAUCCCUCGGCUUAACCGGGGAACUGCGUCUGAUACUGGAUGGCUUGAGUUCGGGAGAGGGAUGCGGAAUUCCAGGUGUAGCGGUGAAAUGCGUAGAUAUCUGGAGGAACACCGGUGGCGAAGGCGGCAUCCUGGACCGAUACUGACACUGAGGAGCGAAAGC